rnacentral:tRNA from 1 species
GGGUGUGUGACUCAGUGGUAGAGAACGUGUCCAACAACACACACAAGGUCCUGCGUGCGAUCCCUAGCACAAACA